ACCAAAAGGUCUUGAAAUGGAGCUGCUGAAACUUCUCAAAGCAAUAUAAUCAAGGAGAAAUCUAACCCAACUCUUCUCAAAAAUUCAAAUAACGUUGCCAAUCUGAAACUCACUUAUGCAAUGAUGAAAAACAACCAGUCUGAGUUGGCUAACAAUCAAACAGUACCAAUGGAAGGUGUGGAGAUGGAGGAGAUUGAAGUAGAUCCAGUUGUUGAGGAAGAAAUUGCACUAAUUAAGAACAUGGGGGAUGCUAAUCAGGUUCCUUCAUUGGAUGCAAACUCAAAGCUGGAUCAGUGAGGAAUGCGGAAGAAGCUGGUAGUCUAGCAUUAUUAGAGGCAGUGACAUGGGCAAAAGCUAAAAGACUUGAGAAAGUGUGUUUUAUCAGUGACGCUAAAACAGUAAUAUAUGCAUUUAAUUCCACUAGCAAUUAAAUAUUUUAGUAUAAUAAAUCAGUCUUAGAAGACUGUAAAACAAUUAGUUCUUGUUUUCAAUUGGUUAAUUUUGAAUAUCUUAAAAGAAAUCAUAUUAUUCUAGCUGAUCAAGCAGCUAAGUUUAGUAGGAGGUCUAGAACCUCAGGAGAAUGGAUGAGUAAUGUGCCUGACUUUCUCAACUCUGAAAUGUAAUUCUCUUUCUUUUAAUAUAAUAUAAGAUCUGUUUUUCCUAGCAAAAAAAAA